rnacentral:rRNA from 1 species
UGGGGAAUAUUGCACAAUGGGGGAAACCCUGAUGCAGCGACGCCGCGUGAGCGAAGAAGGUUUUCGAAUCGUAAAGCUCUGUCCUAUGAGAAGAUAAUGACGGUAUCAUAGGAGGAAGCCCCGGCUAAAUACGUGCCAGCAGCCGCGGUAAUACGUAUGGGGCGAGCGUUGUCCGGAAUCACUGGGCGUAAAGGGUUCGCAGGCGGAAAUGCAAGUCAGGUGUAAAAGGCAGUAGCUUAACUACUGUAAGCAUUUGAAACUGCAUAUCUUGAGAAGAGUAGAGGUAAGUGGAAUUUUUAGUGUAGCGGUGAAAUGCGUAGAUAUUAAAAAGAAUACCGGUGGCGAAGGCGACUUACUGGGCUCAUUCUGACGCUGAGGAACGAAAGCGUGGGUAGCAAACAGG